rnacentral:rRNA from 1 species
GUGAACGCUGGCGGCGUGCCUAACACAUGCAAGUCGAACGAUGAUAGAGGGCUUGCUCUCUUGAUUAGUGGCGCACGGGUGAGUAUAACAUAGAUAAUGUACCUCUUAGUUCGGGAUAGACACUGGAAACGGUGAUUAAUACCGGAUACUCCUUCUUACUCUAAGGUAAGUCGGGAACGUUUUUUCGCUAAGAGAUCAGUCUAUGUCCUAUCAGCUAGUUGGUGAGGUAAUGGCUCACCAAGGCUAUGACGGGUAUCUGGUUUGAGAGGAUGAUCAGACACACUUGAACUAGGACACGGUCCAGACUCCUACGGGAGGCAGCAGUGAGGAAUAGUGCACAAUGGAGGAAACUCUGAUGCAGCAACGCCGCGUGGAGGAUGACGCAUUUCGGUGUGUAAACUCCUUUUAAGAGGGAAGAUAAUGACGGUACCUCUUGAAUAAGCACCGGCUAACUCCGU